AUGGGUCGGCCCACCCUACGCCAACGACGGACGGGAGCGAUCGAUCCAUAUGCCGCUGUUCUCCGGCGGCCGCCACUCCGGAGAACACGACGCUCGCGCCGACGAACCGCACGGUGCUGCCACACGGCGCGGGAGGGUCUAAUCCUAACAACCGGGAGGCCAACCCCUGCAGGUCUCUUCGCCUGCUCCUCCCACCUCGCGGCGGCCUCCUCCUUUUGCUCCCCCCUCUCCGCCUUCGGAGAACUGUCUCCAGCCGCCAUGGCGGUGGGGGCGCAGCAGCCGAGCAUAGUGCUCACAGAGCUGGAGCAGCGGAUUUUCGGGCGCCUUCUCGAUGUUGUCCACCACCGAGGCCUCGGCACCCAGCUCCGCGUCGCCGGCGGAUGGGUCAGAGACAAGCUAUUGGGGAAAGACUCUACCGACAUCGACAUCGCGCUUGAUGAUAACAUGACCGGCGUAAAAUUUUGUGGGGAAAUAACUAAGUACUACAAGGUGAUCGGUCAGGAGCUGGAAGAACCUUGUAUUAUCCCAUGCAAUCCUGGCCAAUCUAAGCACUUGGAAACCGCAAGGAUAUGUCUAUCUGACAUCUCUAAAAUCUCGAUUGAUUUUGUCAACUUGAGGACCGAAAAAUAUGCUGAAAACAGUCGUAUUCCCACUGUGGAGGAUGGUACGCCUGAAGAAGAUGCAUUCCGCAGGGACCUGACAAUUAAUAGUUUAUUCUAUAAUAUCAACACGAAAUCGGUGGAAGAUUUAACUCGAAGAGGUCUUGAAGAUCUGAACGCAGGCCUUAUUGUUACUCCUUUACCAGCCAAAGUUACAUUCCUCGAUGAUCCCCUGAGGGUUCUUCGAGCAAUCCGAUUUGCUGCUAGAUUCAGCUUUACAUUAGCUGAAAAUUUAAGGGAAGCCGCUUCUGAUGAAAAAGUGAAGUUGAAUCUUGGUAGCAAGAUUAGCAGAGAACGUAUUGGUCAGGAGGUUGAGCACAUGAUGUCAGACAAAUAUCCGGUUGAUGCAAUGUGCCAUAUCCGUGAUUUGGGAUUAUUUUACGUUGUUUUUGCAUUUCCUGAGAAAACAGUUCCUCCAGUUCUCAACAAACAUGAUUGGCUAUGUGUUUCACAUAUUGAAGCAGCAUGGAAUCUUGCACAAUCAAUUGGCUGCUCUGUUUUCAGAGGUGGUUCUGGUUCAAUGUCGCAGGAUGAACAGAGAAGGCUUUGCAUGUAUAGUGCACUAUUUACUCCAGUUCGAAAUAUGGUGUACACGAAGAAAAAGGAGGUUGUUCGCUAUAUUAUUGGAAACUCUCUAAAGUUGAAUGGUUCUGAUGCUGAAGCGAUUGUCCGAAUACAUGCUGCAAGUGACAAGUUUGCCGAUUUAAUUAUUUUCCUCGAGUCAAACGGAAAUCUGGAAACUGUCAAAGAGAACCCGAACGACAAAUAUCUUGAGAUACCAACAGACAUGGUAGCACGUGUUUUGGCAGGACUUACACUCCUUGGAAUAAAGGACCUUUGGCGUCUGGCGCUGUUGAUAUCCACUCUGUCAUAUCCAGAAGUCCUCAGUGCUAAUGGUUCCUUAAGCCAGCAGGAUAAGCUAAAUAGAAGGAAAGAGAUAUAUAUCAGAGUUGAGCGUUUAAUAACCGACCUCGAUCUUGAAGGUGUAUGGAAGAUAGGUAUAAAACUGCUGCUCGAUGGGAACGACAUUAUGGGAGUUUUGGACAUCGGAGAAGGUCCCUUGGUUAAAGAAUGGAAAGAAAGGCUAGUGAAGUGGCAGCUUGCGCAUCCCAAAGGUACCGCGGAGGAGUGCCAUGAGUGGAUGAAGCAGUCCAAACUUCAGAAAAAAGAAAUGUAG
rnacentral:rRNA from 1 species